GAUGAGCUUGCCUUGGAUCUGAUUCUGGAAAAAACACACCGAGUCUUUCGUGUUAUCGAAAUAAAUCAAAGCCUGGAAGACUUUCCAAAGUUCUGGGACUGGCUCCACGAGGUGAAGAUGCCCGAGCAGAGCAGAGAAGCUUUGUGCCCUCCGGCUUGCCACGGCUCCGCUCCAGUGGUCAACUGCUCC